AGAAACCCUGACACGGUUUACGGUCUUUUCCUCUGCCGUGGGGAUCUUUCUACCAGCGUUUGUCAAGCGUGUGUCACCUUCGCCUCUACUGACAUUUCCCGACGUUGUCCUGUUGAAAUAGCAGCGGUGGUUUGGUACGACGAGUGCCUCCUACGAUACUCGGACGAAAAUAUAUUUUCCGCCGUGGCUGAAGAACCUGCAAUUAUCUUGUUCAACACUCAGAACAUCAGUGACCAAGUCCGUUUCGACAGCCAAGUUCAAGAAGUGAUGAGUGGUACAGCAACCCAAGCCGCAAACGCAGCACCAGGUACUAAAAAAUUCGCGACUAGAGAGGCAGAUGCCAAUUUUACAUCGAGUUUUCGAACACUAUAUGCCCUUGCUCAGUGUACACCGGAUUUGCCAACCUCCGAUUGCGACAGAUGCCUGCGAUACGUAACUGGAAACCUUCCAAGAGGAAGCCAAAGAGGAAGAGUGUUGAGUCCUAGCUGCAACGUCAGAUAUGAAGUUUACUUGUUCUAUAAUCUAAAUCAAACAGCAGUUGCAUCUCCUCCACCUCCUCUAGUUCCAGGUUUAUCCUUACUAUUCAUUCAUAAUUUUGGGUUAGAUCAUUAAAAAGAUAAAGCUAGAGGAAAUAGAUUUUUAAUCUAAUAGUCUACCACCUAGACACCCUUUUUGACUCUAUUAACGGUAUAUAUCAUGGCUUCAGAAGGGAAUGGCCGAAGAUCAUGGUCAAUAAUUAUUGCCAUUGUUGCUCCAAUUGCUGCCUUCAUUUUGCUUUUCAUACUGACUUGUUGGCUGUUAAAGAGGGGAACAAGGAAGUACAAUGCUACCCACGGAGAAAACGGUAAAGGGAAUGAUUAAGCUUGUGCUUCUUUUGAGCCAUUUUAUUUCCUUGUCUUUCACAAAAAAAUUUGUCACCCCUUCGCCAUUUGAUUGUUUAGCAGGAUAUGACAUAACCACUAUAGAAUCAUUGAAGUAUGAUUUUACCACAAUUGAAGCUGCAACAGACAAGUUUUCAGAUGCCAACAAGCUAGGCAAAGGAGGUUUUGGUGAGGUUUACAAGGUACUUGGUCAUUUUGUUCAUACAGAGUCCAAUCAAUUUGAUAAAAAACUUGGUCUAAAUACGCAUUUUAAUGACUGGUUAUUAAUUUGUAUAUGCUUAGGGUAUCCUACCCAACAAACAAGAAAUAGCUGUUAAGAGGUUAUCAAGAGGUUCAGGACAAGGCACUGAGGAAUUUGAAAAUGAGGUCGUAUUGAUAGCCAAGCUUCAACACAGAAAUCUAGUCAGCGUAUUGGGCUUUUGCCUGGAAAGAGGUGAAAAGAUACUUGUCUACGAAUAUGUUCCCAACAAGAGCCUUGACUAUUUUAUUUUUGGUAUUUUUCACAUACUUUGCAAUGACCUUUUUGAGAAUUUGCAUUUGCUUUAAGGUUGGUUUUUAAACACAAUUUUUUGUUUUUGUUUAGAUCGUGCGGAGGAAGGACAAUUGGAUUGGUCGAGACGAUACAAGAUAAUUGGAAGAAUUGCUCGUGGAAUUCUUUAUUUGCACGAGGAUUCUAGACUUAGAAUCAUUCACCGUGAUCUCAAGGCCAGCAAUAUAUUAUUAGAUGGAGACAUGACCCCCCAAAUAUCGGAUUUUGGCAUGGCAAGAAUUUUUGGAAUUGAUCAAACUCAAGGAACCACUAGAAAGAUUGUUGGAACCUAGUAAGCCCUGACUUUGUUCAGCCUAAUUGUUGAAUGUUCUAAUACCUCCAUUACCUUGAAAUUGUUAUUCGUUCGACAGCGGCUAUAUGUCUCCAGAAUAUGCAAUGCAUGGGCAAUUUUCGAUGAAAUCGGAUGUGUAUAGCUUUGGUGUUUUAGUUCUAGAAAUCAUAAGUGGCCUAAGGAACAGAGAUUUCUAUGAAACAGAUGGUGCUGAGGACCUCAUUAGCUACGUGCGUAUAAUUCUUUUGGCCUUUUUUGUUCAAAUAUCCUUUAUAUAGAACUUAUUGAAUCUUUGAUGAACCAAUGCAGGCUUGGAAACUAUGGAAGGAUGAAAGACCCUUAGAAUUGUUGAACCCUGUUCUGAGGAAUGAUUACUCGAGAAAUGAAGUCACCAAAUGCAUCCAACUCGGAUUAUUAUGUGUUCAGGAAGAUCCAGCUGACCGGCCAACGAUGGCUACCAUUGUUCUAAAGCUUAAUAGGCACUCUGCCAAACUACCAAUGCCUAAACAACCAGCAUUUGUCUUUGAUAGUAGAACAGAUGGGAGGAUGCCAGACAAGGGGCUUGAAUCGGACCAAUCUACUACUCAAUCAAUGCCGUCGUCUAUCAAUGAGGUAUCUAUUACGGAAUUAUACCCUCGGUAAUGUGAGCUAAUGGAUGCAUCAUCAUCCUCAACCUCAAGGUAGAUAGCUAUCUACCGACGUUGAUCAACAAGUAAAAUUUUAAAUAAAGUGAUAAUUUAUUUAAAAUCAAUUUUAUAAAAUUAUAAUGUAAACAUGGAUGAUUAUUUCCUUAGCUAGAAUAAUAUAAUAUAAUAUAAUAUAAUAUAAUAUAAUAUAAUAUUAUUAGGAUAUGGUGUCGAUAAUGUAAAAAGGAGUGUCAUGACCCAACCUAGGUCACUGGCCUCAUUUGGAUUUUUAUGUAAUUCUUAUGUAUGUGAAAACGAAUCGUUUUCUAUUUUCUCUGCAAUUAAUCUUCUCAUUUAUUAGUCUUUAUGACCAAACUUAUUUCUAUGGAAAAAUGUAAUUUCAUAUAGAAAUCUUCUUUUGCAUUCAAAAACCGAAGAAUACACAUGUUCAUUUUUGUUUUCAUGACAAAGUGGAAAGUUUUGCUUAUCAAGAAAAAAAACAAUGAAGAAAUAUUCUUCUUUUUUUUUUUUUGUCAAAAUUACUGUCCAUAGUCGUGUUGCAAAGUUGUGGCUGACUAGUGUAGUUUCCUGGACCAUAAACUGCUUUAUCAUAUUUAUGAGAUUUCGAUCAAUUAAUAACAGAAGACGAUAUAGAAAAUUUAAAAAAAAAAAAACCAAGACCAUGACGUAAAACUCUCUGUUAUUACACGUAUGCACGAGAAAAACACACACUGAAAGUGCUUGCCUACUACAAACCAAAAACCCCUUCAAGUGGAACAAAUUAGAUUACUCAGUACUACUGCAAUCGGAUUACUCGAGUGUUUCGACCCACCGAGAUUCAUGGCCAACUGGCUCAUUGAGUAUUCGUUUUUGACCCUACUCUUUUAAGUUCUUAGCUUCCAAUUUGAUUGAGAUUUCUAGUCUUCCUUGUAGACUAAUACAAUCCAAAAAUUCGACUCAAAUUUUUCAGUAAAGGAUCAACGAAUUUUCUGUAAUGGCGAAAAGUAUUUCCCUUUAUACAACAACCCAUAUUAUAAUUUAUAAAUCUGGUAUCUCUUGUCUUAUAAUCCAAGCUAAAACAAGGUGAUGACUUUUAUAAACUUGUUGCUGUUAGGAAUAGUACUUUCCUUGCUUACCCCUGCAAUUGAAGCUCAGCAGCCUACUUAUCUGUACCACGAUUGUCCAAACACCACCACUUUCACCGUAAUCAGCACUUACCAAGCCAACCGCAAUACCGUCUUAUCAUCGCUGUCGUCUAAUAGCACCCGUGGUUAGGAGUGUUCAUUCGGUUAACCGACCCGAAAUUACUAUAACCGAAUUAACCGACCUUCCAAAAAUUUUAACCGUUAACCGAACCGAUUUUUUUAAAAAAAAUUAACCGAACCGAAAUUUUUUCGGUUAAUAAGGUCGGUUAACCGAAUUAACCGAAAAUUAUGUAUUUUUUAUUUUUGGUUAAAAAUUACCCGAAUUACCCGAAUUAACCGAAUUACCGAAAAAUACUCGAAUUACCCAAAAUUUUUUAUUUUUUAUUUUUAAAAUUUAAAAAAAUUAUAAAUUAUUAAAGUAAAUUGGGUUUUAGACUUUAGUAAAUUGGGUUGUCUUUUAGUUUUAGUUUUAUUGGAUUGGGUAAUUGAGUAAACUUUAGUUUUAGUUUUAUUGGGUUGGGUAAUUGGGUUGGGUAAUUGAGUUUGGGCUGGGUUGGAUAAUUUUAUUUAUUAAUUUUUUCGGUUAACCGAAAAAUUUCGGUUAACCGACCAAUUUUGAACCGAAUUAACCGUUAACCGAAAAAUCAUAAAAAAAUUAACCGACCCCCGACCGAAAAAAUUCGGUUAACCGACCGAUUAACCGAAUUCGGUCGGUUAACCGAAUUUUUUCGGUUUUACCCGAAUUAUGCACACCCCUACCCGUGGUGAUGGUUUCUACAACACAACCGCAGGCAGGAGCCCUGACAUGGUAUACGGUCUUUUCCAUUGCCGUGGGGAUCUUUCUACCAGCGACUGCCAAGCGUGUGUCACCUUUGCCACCACCGAUAUUUCCCAACGUUGUCCCAACCAAACAACGGCGGUGGCUUGGUACGACGAGUGCCUCCUACGGUACUCGAAUCGAAAUAUCUUCUCCGUUGUCGAAGACCGACCCGCAGUUAGAUUGAGUAACCAUCGGAAUGCAACUGGGACAGAAAUCCCUUUCGACCAGCUAGUGGCCACCACAGUUGUUAUGAACAUGAACGAUAUAACAACCCAAACGGAAAAUAAACCCGCAGGUUCUAAAAAAUUUGCGACAAGAGAGACCAAACUUUCAAGUUCUCGAACACUGUACACGCUCGCCCAGUGUACACCGGACUUAUCAGGCAGUGACUGCAGUAUAUGUCUGCAAGGAGCACUAGAACUUCUUCCAACUGGAUGGCUAGGCGGAAGAUUGUUGAGUCCUAGCUGCAACGUCAGAUAUGAAAUUUACCCCUUCUAUAAUCCAACGAUAGUUUCGCCUCAACCUCCUCCUGCAGCAGGUUUAUCCUCACUGUUAAUUGAUAAAUUUGAUCCUUUCCUUUUUCCUUUUUUAUAGUUCUCGACAAAAAGAAAACAAGAUUCACUACAUUCUCUUUUCUUUUUUCUGGUCGGUAAUUUGUAAAUUAAUAUAUAGGUAAAGAACAAUCCCCUGUUUUCAUAAGGAUUAUAAUGAACUGAAUUGAGGAUAUCUAAUUCUGCUCUUAUUUAAUCAGAAGAAGAGAAACAAAACAAAUCAAACCGGAUUCCAGUACUUGUUGCAAGUUUAUCAGCAAUUUUUGGGCUGGCUGUGGUUUUUAUCUAUGGUUUCUUCAUCCGGAGGAGGAGAAACAGUCGAGGUACAUAUCGGAGUGAUCUUUCUGGCAAGUAUUGUAACUUCUUUUUAUAUUCUUAUGCUGAUCAUAUUAUGAUUUUAUUACAGACGAAGAAAACAGCCAAGAAGUUCAAUUACUUGACUUGGUAAAUGAGCACUCAAGGGAAACUUUUAACGGAGAAAAUGGGGAGAGAUCUCAGGAGUUUCCUUCUAAACAGUUGGAUGUUUUACAUGCAGCGACAAAUCACUUUUCUGAUGAAAAUAAGCUGGGACAGGGUGGAUUUGGUCCUGUAUUCAAAGUAAUUAUAUAACUUGAAACUUUUAUCUGAGUUGGCUUUAGAACUGAUCUAUGCGAAUUAAGUAUGUGAAUACUCCUGCAUUUGAAUUUUGAUAUGCUAUGUAAAUGAAUGAAUUCUUCCAGGGAACAUUAGCAAAUGGUAAAGAAAUUGCAGUUAAAAGGCUGUCAGAAACUUCCAGUCAAGGGCUUGUUGAAGUCAAGAAUGAAAUCAUGUUAAUUGCUAAAUUACAACAUAGAAAUCUUGUGAGGCUCUUAGGAUGUUGCUUAGAGAAAAGUGAGAAGUUGCUUGUAUAUGAAUUCAUGCCCAACAAAAGCCUGGACGUUUUCCUAUUCGGUUUGAUUCUUGAACCUUUAACUAAUAAGAAAAAAAAACAUGAAACAAUUAAUGAAAAUGUGCUCAUUUGUUUUUUUUUUCCUUUUUUUCCACAUUUAUAUCAGAUUCGAAAUUAGCUGCUCAACUGGAUUGGCAGAAACGAUUCAAUAUUAUUAAAGGAAUUGCUCGAGGUAUUUUGUAUCUACACGAAGAUUCAAGUCUAAAAAUUAUACACAGGGAUCUUAAAGCAAGUAAUGUUCUACUCGAUCAUGAGAUGAAUCCGAAAAUUUUUAAUUUUGGUAUGGCAAGAAUUUUUGAAGAUCAAAACGAAGCAAAUACCAAUAGAGUCGUUGGAACAUAGUAAGUAUGCCUAUUUUCAUGACACAUUCCUUUACAGUGCGAGGCUUAUGGGAAUAUUGUUAUUUAAUUAUUUUCUUUCUUUAUAAAAUUUUUUAUGAUAUCAUCCAAUUUUAUUUUAAUAAAUUGUCUCUUUGUUUCUUAUGAAUUAAAAUAGUGGAUAUAUGGCACCAGAAUAUGCUAUGGAAGGACUCUUUUCUAUCAAAUAUGAUGUUUUCAGCUUUGGAGUCCUUUUAUUGGAGAUUAUUAGUGGAAAAAAGAACAAUGGUUUUCAUCAUUUAGAGCAUGGUGAAAGCUUGUUGACUUUUGUAUGUUCUUUACCCUCCCUUUUGUUCUCAAACUAUAGAUUAAAUGUUUUAACUAUUCUACUAAUAAUUUUAAGCUACAAUUGUAGGCAUGGAAAUUAUGGUCCAAGGGCGAAGGAAUGGAGCUAAUAGAUCAGGUCCUUGUUCCUUCAUGUGUGGCUUCUGAGGUGCUUAAAUGCAUUCAUAUUGGGCUAUUAUGUGUGCAAGAAGACCCGGCAGACAGACCAACCAUGUCAUCUGUGAUUUUCAUGUUGGCAAGUGAUAGUACCAUAACACUUCUUUGUCCAUCUGAACCAGCAUUUUUCGUUGGGCGUGCAAUUGCAAAGCCAACUGAACCUAUUUCAGAUGAUGGAGUCUUUUCGGUUAAUGAGGUCACAAUUUCAAAUUUCUCACCUCGCUAAUUUGAUUGUUGUACUAACAAUACUAGUUUAUCAAAAACCUUUCAUUUUUAUUUUCCAGUCUGAAUUAACAACUAUGAAUACUAAAGCCAUGAUUUUUAAGAACUUGAAGAUGAAACUAGAUAUACAUAUAUAUGAAUUUCAAAUUGAAUAUGAAGUUGGUGAUAAAUCAAUUUAAGAAAAUUAAUUUUUUACUCAAAUUUUUUAAUGUAUCGAAGCACCUAAGAAAGUUGAAAAUUAUAUGGAUUUAUACUUUCUAAAGCAUAUAUAAUUUAGCUACUCUUUGCGAUUUGCACAAGGAAACAAACAUAUAGCAGGGAAGAGUGUAAUUUUUAUACUCUUGUAAUGAUGAAGGAGUUGCAAUAAUUUAUUUCAUUAGUUUACACUUAAUCUGGAAUUCAACUCCAAUAAAAGGAUCCAAUUAACUUCCAAAGACUAGUCUUGCAUCUAGAAAUUAAGAGUUUGGAUACGUGUUACCUUGUGCAAAGUGUCGCUACUUUGUGCAAGUUUCUCAUAUGCUCAGUUUAGAUUAAUUUAAAUUAUAUGAAAAAUUAUAACUGUGUUUGACAAAAGUACAAAUUUAUAUGACUUAUGUUACCCCGACAACAAUAUAAUAUUUCAUUACUCGAACCUGACAUUGAAUCAAGAAAUAAAGGGUUACAUUUAGUAAUAUCAGUAACCAAGUCAAUGGAAUGCUUUCACUGUCCCUAACAUGGUCAUGUAGCCAACUGCCACAUUGAAUAUUAUUUUUUGUUCACUUCUGCCCCAUCCAUUCAUUGGGAGGCCCUAAACAAAAUACAGCAAGAAUAGUUCAACAUGCGUAAUUUAAUGUUUUUAGUCAUAUUGACAAAGAAUUGACUGACUUGUGUAGCUUCCUCGAACAUAAGCUGCUUUAUCAUCUUCAUCUUGGGAGAACGGGUCAACAAAAUACAGCCACCUUCGACAAUUGAACUUUUAAUUUGUAAGUGAAUUCCUUAAAGAAACAGGCAACGGAAAUUUCAAGAACAAUAUUGUUUCACUUCUUUUUUUCAGGUUUAACAUUUACAUACCUCGUUAUUCUCACCAUUUCCUUCGACCCUUAUUUCCAGCGUUAUUGGGCGAACAUCAUCGGCAACUACACCGCCAAUAGUGCCUACGAGCUUGACCUGGAUAGCAUCUUCAAGGAGAUCACCUCUAUAACAAAAUCCAAUUAUGGGUUUUACAGCAACAAGGUCGGCGAAGUCAACGCCAUGGCACUUUGCAGAGCAGAUGUUAAGCUAGAUGUUUGCUCUAGUUGUUUAUACGAAAAUAUCUAAUUAUUAUUAAAAAAAAAAGUUAACAAUUCAAGUCUAAUUAUUUUGAACUUGAAUUGACACAUGGAAUAGAUUUAAACUUAAAAUGACUCAAACAAAUCAUUUAAAAUUACUAAAGUCUAAAAAGAUCAAAACUCGAUCCAAAUUUAUAAUGACAAAUUUAGAAGGCUAAUACCUCAACCCUAAAUAAUUCAAAAUCCUAAUUAAUUCUAAUUGAAAUAAUCUAAAAUUUUUAAAAUUAGACUACGUGCAGGCUUGCUUAUUACAGUCAUUGAAUACAUGUCAUUUAUUGGUAACCAAGUCAAUGGAGUGCUUUCAUUGACCCGAACAUGGUCAUGUAACUAACUGCCACAUUGAAUAAUUAUUUAUCAUUUACUUCCGUUCCAUCGAUUCAUUGCGGACCCAGCUCUCCUUGUAGACCAAUUUACACAACAAAACUGCUUUAUCAUCUUCGUAUUGUUAGAACCAGUCAACAAAAUACAGCCACCUUCAACAAUUAAACGUUUAAUUUGUAAGUGAAUUCCCUAGAGAAAAUGGCAACGGAAAUUUCAAGAACAGUACUGUUUCACUUCUUGUUUUCAGGUUUAACAUUUACAUUCCUCGCUACUUUUGCCAUUUCCUUUGACCCUUAUUUCCUGCAUUCUUGUGCAAACAACAUCGGAAACUACACCGCCAAUAGUGCUUACGAGCGUGACCUCAAUACCAUCUUCAAACAGAUCACCUCUAUUACAAAAUCGAAUUAUGGAUUUUACAGCAAGAAAGUCGGCGAAGUCAGCGCCAUGGCACUUUGCAGAGCAGAUGUUAAGCUAGAUGUUUGCACUGGUUGUUUAAGUGAAACUAUAUCAAGGGUCAAGCUGGAUUGUCCUAACAACAAAGAAGCCAUCGGAUGGUCUGCGGAUUGCACGUUACGGUACUCGAACACAAACCUCUCCGAGAAGUUGGAAAUUAAUCCUCAAACCUGUCUAUAUAAUACAGGAUCUACGGUUGAUGAGUACUUCCAGCUCAGACUCGGAGAAUUGUUGAGUGACCUGCGUAAUAAAGCAGCAUCAGGGGGUGCUCUUCUUAAAUAUGCAGCAGGUAACUCGUCGCUCAGGGCUUCGGAAAGGUUAUACGCUCUAGUGCAGUGCACUCCUGAUUUGUCUGAGGGAGACUGCAAUCAUUGUCUUGAUAAGGCGGCAACCAACGGGAUUCUGCGGUGUUGCCUUAAGCAGAGGGGAUGCCGGGUUCUUAGUCCUAGCUGUAACUUGAGGUUCGAAACAUAUCCCUUUGUUGAAGCCGGAGUGGAGUUUCCACCACCCCCGUCACCCUCGGGCGAUCGGCAAAAAGAAGGUACGACAAUUUUCCUUCCACUGUCACUUCUUCCAACCACCUGUUAGCACAGCUUCACUUUGGAGGCACUAUAUUAGCCUAUCACUCUUGUUGAAUCGAGAAAAUCUGAUUCUGCCCUUAUAUAAUUAGAAGAGGAACCAAACAAAUCAAAAAGGACGCCAGUACUUGUUGCAAGUUUAUCAGUGAUAUUUGGGGUAGCUGUGGUUUCUAUCUCAGGUUUCUUAAUCUGGAAGAGGAGAAACAAUCAAGGUAUGCAGUGGCAAACAUUACAAAUUUGUUUUGUAUUGUUAUAUUGAUCACUUUCUUACUUUCUUCUUUUAUUAAUUUCAGAUACAGAGUACAGAGAAAUUCAAUUACUUGACUUGGUAGAGGGAAGAAUUGAUAUGUGAGAAUCAAGUUUGUAACGUUAGGUAUAAUUAAUAAAUGAAUUCUUUCGGGGAACACUAGCGGAUGGUAAACAACUGCAGUUAAAAGGCUAUCAAGAACCUCCGAUCAAAAGCUUGUUGAGUUCAAAAAUGAAAUCAUGUGCUUUUUUCCUUCUUUUUUUCCCUACUAAGCUACAAUUUUAGGUAUGGAAGCUCUUAUCUGAAUACAGCUAAUAGAUAAGUUCCUUACUCCGUCGAGUGUAAUUUUUGAGGUGCUUAAAUGCAUUUUGGGUUAUUGUACAUGCAAGAAAAUCUGCUACUCAGUCUAAUCAAAUCAUCUCUUAUUGUCAUGUUCGCAACCGAUACCGUAAAACUUUCUCGUGCAAUUAAACCAACAUCCUUUUUGGGCAUAUCAUUGCGGAAUCAAUCAAACACAUUUCAAAUGAUGAAUUUUUUUAUUAUUAUUAAAAAUUUUCACCUCGCUGAUUUGAUCACUAUUUUAAUUUUAAGAUUAUAUAUUUGAAUGUAAAAAUUAGUAUAAAGCCGAUAACUAAUCAAUUUAUGAAUAUUAUUUUUAAUGUGUGGAAGCACCUUAAUUAGUAAACAAAGUUCAAACUUGCAUCAAAUUAUACUCCCAAAAAUAUACAAAAUUUAGCUACCCUUUCUUCUUUCAAUCCGCUCUGCUGGACUUGUAUUAGGGAUGAGCAAAACUUGAUUUAAUUUGAAAAAAUAAAAAAAUUUCAAAUUUCGAAUUAAUCGAAUCGAGUUAUUCGAGUUAUUCAAUUUUUUUGAGUCAAGUUAAAUAAGUAGUUUGAGUUUCAAGUUCAAGUCGAGUUGAAUUUUAUAAUUCGAAUAACUAGAAUAAUUUAAUAACAUUUUGGUAUAACUGCUCCUUUAGUCCCCGUCAAGUUUAAAAAUGAGCAAAUCAGUCUCUCUCUUAACAAAAAUUACAAAAAUUUCAAAAUAAUUUUUAAAAUUCAAAACAUUUAUAAAAAUUUCAAACUUUAUAUUUUUUUAAAGAAUUGUAAAAAAAAUUUGUAAAAAAAUUCUAAAUAAUAUAUAAAGAAAGUUACAAUUUUGAAAUUUUCUAAAAUAAUAAUUUUAGGGACUUAAAUAAUUUAAUUAAUCAUUCAAGUUUAUCAUAGUAAAAUAUCUUUUCUUUUUUCUUUUUUUUCUUUAAAUUUUUUUAAAUAUAUACAGUUUCAAAUUUACGUGCUCAAACAUGAUAUUAGUUAUAUUGUAAUAAUAUUUUAAUUUGACAUGAUUAAUUUUUUAAUUUAGCUCGAACAAUUUCACUCGAUUUGACUCGACCUAAAUUUCAUUUCACGCGACUCGAUUUAAAAAAAUUCAAAUCAUAUUAAGAUGAUAAAAUAGGACUUCUCAACUUGAUUAACUCAAAAUUUUUUCACUUCAUUUGAUUGAACCUUCUUCCUUAUUUACGUCGCAAUUAGAAAACAUAUAGUAGCAAGGAAGAGUUCAAUUUUUAUACGAAAAAUAAAAUUUCAAAAAGUUACAUGUGCUUUUUUUAUAAAUAUACUCUAAAAAGGGUUAAUCUAAAUUAUAAAAUCUAAAAAUUUAUUUGAUAAUGGAUCCAAUAAUGAAUAAUUUCUCUACCACCGAAUUGAACAUUGCAUUUCAGUUUUAAAAUCUAUUCUAAUCAAAGAAACCAAAUUAACUUGACUUUGAAGAAAUCAAGCCAAGUCCUACACCAUAAAUAGGCAGUCUGAUAAUUGGGUAUAUAUGCACUAAAGAUAACCAAGAAAAAUGAGACACGUUCCUACCAUGUCCUUUCAAAAUGUCUUUAAAUUCUACCCGUAUAUUUUUCCACAACUUGCAUCGCCAUUUUAUGAGAGAUCCAUCAAUUACAGACAAAAACAUAAAGGAACCCAAAGGCCAAGUCUUAUAAACUUGUCGUUAUUAGCUGUACCAGAAAAAACAACCUUGUUUGUCUAAUACAAUUCCAACUUGCAUGUUUUGUAUCCUCAUAUUCUAAUUUCUGUAGAGGAUUUUUUAUGGAAAAAAGGAAUUUUAUAAGUGAAACGGAAUGCAACAAAAGACGAUGAAAAGGAAGAUUAGAAUAGAUAUUUCAUAACAUAGAUGAUAGCUUAUAAGGUGGAGAAAAAUUACUAAGUGUGGCUGUAGGUACAAGGGUAAUAAAGUUGCACAUUAAAUAGGAGUAAUAAGAGGCAUUUUUACUAAUAAAGAAUUUAGGUCUUGUAUAAUAGUGAAUAAUCCAUUUUAAAAAAAAAAUGGAAGAUGUAUUUAAUGUUACAAGAAAAGGUUAACAUGUAACAUUUAACUAUUGAUAGAAGUUCUUGUGCUUUAAGUUUCUUUGUUGAAGAUAUAUGGAUUGACUUAUUACACCAACCUAAGUUCUCCAAAAUUUCAAAAUGGUAAAGAUAAUCGAAGAAUCUUAUCAUAUUCUUGUCGAGUAAUAUUUUAUCAUGUCUUAUUGAUAAGAGUGUUCGAGUAUUUAUACAUGUUGUUACAAAAGCUAUUACAGCUCAUGAUAGGGCCCCACUAUUUUAACUUGACUCAACUGCCUCUAGUACUGAUACUUUCUAUCCCUAGUACUGACAUUCUUUGUAAGCUCCAGGUUUGUUGGGCACGUGUCUAUGGAGCACACGAUCCUUUCUGUUCCUGGGACUAACAUUCUAGGCGGGCUCCGUACCUACUGGACUCGUGCCUAGGUGGCCUACGGAGCACACGGCCCUUUCUGCGAGCUCCCUAAGUCCUCGCGAGUUGGAUCUGUGGCCUUGCGUUACAAGAUGGGUCCUUGGCUUUGCCUUGCGAGUUGAGUUCACGAGCUCGUUCUGCGAGCAGGGUGAGCUAACUCCCCUUGCUAUCCUCUCGUGGCUCGCUUCGCACCCAAUCUUUUGGUGGGACCUAUCCGGGUCACAGGUAGGUGACCCAGAUCCUAUCUAGGACUCAGGUUGAUGAUCACCAAUGUAUAACAAUUCUAAUGUUAUUUUCAUAACUAUUUUAAUUAAGUAGUAUAAUGUGAAACAUUUUUUGCAUAUCAUCUCUUAGAACAUGAGUUGUUUUUGUAAAAGAUUUGUUCUUAAAUAAGGUUGUUUUCAAAUAAGAAUUGUUCUAAUAUAUUCUGAUCAUGAAUUUUCUCAAUUAAUUAUUAUUGACAGGUUGUUCCUAACAAUAGGUGUUUUGAAUAUAAUUAUUCUUAAAUUUCAAUUAUUCUAAAUAAGAGUUGUUUUAAAUAUUAAUUAUUCUUAACAAGAGCUAUUCUCAAACAAUUACUAUUAUAGGCAUCAACAGUUGUGAACAUAAUAGUUAUUCUAGAGCAACGGUUGAUUUGAGUGGUGAUUAUUCUAAACAAAAGUUACUCUUCAGAUAAAAAUAUUUAAAAAGAAAACAAUAGAAGUGAUUAGAAUAUAUUUAUCUCGAAGUUGAAUUUAUGUGAAUCAAACCUACUCAAACCUUAAACAACUUAAACUCAAUAUGACUCCAAUGAGUAACUUAAAAAUACUAAAAUCUCAACGAAUAAACCUAAAAUGAUCCGAACCCAUAUUAAUGAAAUCCAAAAUUAAUCCUAAACAAAUAAUUUAAAAUUUUUAACUGGAAGCAACAGAACCUGACAGAUCUACCUCAAAGUAAAACUCAUUUCAAAGUGAGACAAAUUAGAUUAUUACUUGCAGUCUUGCAUACUACAGUCCUUAUAUAUAUAUGUCAGAUGUUUUAGGUAAUCUGUGACAAUGGAGUUCUUUCACUGUCUUGGACGUAGAUGUAGCCAACUGCCACAUUGAAUAGUAUUUCACUUCCAUCCUCAUCUGGACCCAAACUCGUCAUCUUUGUAGACUAAGGCUUAGUUUGGAUAGGCGGUGUGUUUACCUCCAGUGAGGUUAAAAACAGCGGUGGCGGUGAGAUUAGUUACUGUAGCAGUGAGAUUGGAUAUUGUAGCGGUGAGAUUAAAAACAAUGGUGGAGUGUGUGUUUGGAUUCAAACGCAGCUAUAGCGGUGAGAUAAGAAUAAAAAAUGACUAUUAAUGACAUCAGAUUAGAAUUGAUAUAUAAUAGAAGUUUUUAAAUUAUUUUACUUUUUUAAAAUUAUUAAAAUAUGUGAAUUUAUAAAUUAAAUUAAUAAAAUAUUAAAAUGUAUCUUCCAAUAUUUUAAUGAAUUAUAUAAUUAAUUUAAAUUAUUUAUUAGACAAAAUGAUAAUUAUUUUUAAUUUUUUAAAGUUAAAUAUUUUUUAUAACAAUGAUAAAUAUUAUUUUCAUAAAUAGUAACAUUAUACUUAGAUCAAAUUUUGAAGUAUCUAAAUAGAUGAUUUUUAAUUAAAAAAAUAUAAUAACAUAAGACAUAACAAGUUUCAUUAUUACUAGAAAUUUUUAAUUAUAAAUAAUUUAAAAUAAUAAAUAAUUUUUAAUUUUUAAUUAUAAAAAAUACUUAUUAAAUUUAAUAUGAAGAUUGUAUAUAUUAAAUUAAUAAUAUUAUUUGAAAUUCUUAAAUAGAAAAUUAGAUGUAAAAGGAUAAAAGAAAAAGUAAAAAGCAUGGAUGAAAAGGUACUUUCCAUCUUUCAAAUGGAGUUGCAAAUUCUCACUGCAUGUAGAACCUCCAGUGGCGCCACUGAUACUACAGCAUGAUGAGAAGACUCCAGUGCGGCAAUGGGUAAAAUCCAAACACCAAUAUCAGUGCGAUUGAUUUCAAAAAAAUGGUCUAAACGCACUGAAACGGGAGAUUUUUUGUAUCCAAAGAUAGCCUAAGGCUCCCUUUGGUUUGGCUUUUACAGCCAAUGAGGUGCAGUUGGGGAGAAAAAAUGGUGCCAAUCUCACUGCUAUGCUGUUUGGUUCAGCAAGUCAGUGCAGUGAGAUUGCAUCUCCACCACACUGCUCAGCUGAAAAUCAGCUGGUGAUUUCAGCAGCAAUGAAGGUGCAGUGAGCUAUUGGUACUUUAACUCUCCAAAAAUACCCUUACUUUAACUCUCCAUAUCUUCCCUCCUCCUACCAUGCUUCUCCUUCUUCAAUUUGUGCAACCAGUUCACUUCACAAAGCUACAGGUAAGUCAUUCAUCUGCUGCUGCAACUUCUGCUGCUGCAACUUCUGCCAUUUUCAACCAUGUUUGGUUGUGGUUGUGGUAGUGGACUUUUGUGGACUUUUCAACCAUUUUCAACUUCUGCCACUACCAAUCUUCUGCAACUUAUGCCAUUUCUCUGUAACAAAGGUGCACCGGAAACUUGAAGAAGAUGAUAGAUGGAUAGAACAAGAGAUAUAUAAUCGAUAUAAUAGAUGGACAGAACAAGAUGAUAGAUGGACAGUGUUAGAAUUGUGUGACCCAAAUUCUAAGAGAUUGCUUGCAAGUCAAGUUAAACAAAAAUAUAUUUUCUUUCUAGAAGAUUUAGUAUUUAUUAGUAUAAUAUAUUUAGCAUUUAUUAGUAUAGUUUAUUUGACUUACUAAUUUAGCCUAUAAAUAGGCUCUUUUACAAUCUUAGAAAUGAGACACACCCAUUAGAUUAGAACUCAUAACACAUUCAGAGAAUUUUGUGUUUACGUUUUCGGGUUCUUUGUUUUUCGGAUUUUCGAGUUUAGUUUUUAUCUCCAUCUUUUGUACUCUUCAUUCUUUUGCCAUUAUAGUAAAAUUAUCUUUGCCCGUGGUUUUUUAUCCUCUUUGGAGGGGUUUUUCCACGUUAAAUUUGUGUGUUCAUCUUCUCAAUUUCUUCUGUUAUUUGUACUUGUUUGUUGCUUAAUCGGGACGAUCCUAACAGACAGAAACCUGAAGAAGAUGAUAGAUGAAGAUGAUAGAGGUGUUAACUUUGCAAUACAACUACAACAUUUCUAUGAUGGGUUGGAUGGACAGAACAAGCGACAAUUUGAUUUUAUAGCUAGAGGGAGUAUUUGGUUAAAAAUAGGAAGAUAAAUAAUCGAUAUAUUGGAAAAUGUCAGCAAGAAUGAGCUUACAUGGGGCAUAAACCAAGAGAUAUAAAACGCUAACCUAGCAGAAUGUACACUCCAAAAGUAAACAUCUUAUAACCUGGAAUUAGGAACAUUAGAUUUUGUUGAGCCUAAUAAAGAUGAACCAGAGGAGGAAAGUAUGAAUAAUGCAGAACAAGAGAAAAACGAGCUAGCCUUUCAACUUGACUGGUGGUGUAAAAGUAAAGAAUAUCCAAAACAGGUAAUUCCAACCAUAACUAAAAUGGUUCCUUUUAUUAUUAAAACACCUAAAUUGGAAUUGAAACCACUGCUUGAACACUUGAAGUAUGAGAUGUUUGGGAGAAAAGAACACCUUGCCAGUAAUUACAUACAAGGAGUAUGUAAAAAUAACUUUUUCAAAAAAUAUUAAUAAAUAAUUUAAAUUAAUUAUAUAAUUUAUUAAAAUAUUAGAAGAUAUAUUUCAAUAUUUUAUUAAAUGAAUUUAUAAAUUCACAUAUUUUAAUAAUUAAAAAAAAGUAAAAUAAUUUUAAAAACUUCUAUUAUAUAUCAAUUCUAAUAUGAUGUCUUUAAUAGCAAUUUCUUAUCCUCAACUCACCGCUACAGUGCGUUUGAAUCUAAACACACACUCUACCAUUGUUUCUAAUUUCAUCGCUACAGCAUCCAAUCUCACCGCUACAGUAAUUAAUCUCACUGCCACCGCUGUUUUUAACCUCACCGGAGCUAAACACACCGCCCAUCCAAACUAAGCCUAAAUCAUAUACGCAAACAAUCCAAAAAUCUAUUGACUUGACUCAUAUUUUUUAUUAAGGAUCAGAUAAUCUUCUACGAUGGACCAAAACUUUAUCCCUUACUAAAAGCACCCAUAUCAUAAAUUUCAUAAUAUAGCUGAGCUCUCUCGUCUUAUGAUCCAAACAAGGAGGUAAAGCCAAAAAAAAAAAGAAAUGCAGAGCUCCACAGUUUUCAUAACCCUGUGGCUGUUAUUAAUAGUCUUUUCCGUGCUUAGCCCUGAAACUGAAGCUCAGCCGCCCACUUAUCGCUACCACGUUUGUCCUAACACCACCACUUUCCUCAUAAAUAGCACUUACCAAGCCAACCGUGAUACCCUCUUAACUUCUCUAUCGUCUAAUGGCAGCCGUGGUAAUGGUUUCUACAACACAACUUCAGGCAGAAACCCCGACACGGUUUACGGUCUUUUCCUCUGCCGUGGGGAUCUUUCUACCAGCGUUUGUCAAGCGUGUGUCACCUUCGCCUCUACAGACAUUUCCCGACGUUGUCCUGUUGAAAUAGCAGCGGUGGUUUGGUACGACGAGUGCCUCCUACGAUACUCGGACGAAAAUAUAUUUUCCGCCGUGGCUGAAGAACCUGCAAUUGUAUUGUUUAAUACUAAGAAUGCAACUGGGACAGAAAUCCCUUUCGACCAGCUAGUGGCUGCCACAGUUGUUAUGAACAUGAACGAUAUAACAACCCAAACGGAAAAUAAACCCGCAGGUUCUAAAAAAUUUGCGACAAGAGAG
rnacentral:lncRNA from 1 species